CCUACGGGUGGCAGCAGUCGAGAAUCAUUCACAAUGGGGGAAACCCUGAUGGUGCGACGCCGCGUGGAGGAAUGAAGGUCUUCGGAUUGUAAAUCCCUGUCAUGUGGGGGAAAAUUAAAAAGAUAGUUGCACAAGAGGAAGCGACGGCUGACUCUGUGGCAGCGGCCGCGGUAAUACAGCGGUCUCAAGCGUUGUUGGGAAUCACUGGGGGUAAAGCGGGCGUAGGCGGUUUCGUAAGUCGGGUUUGAAAGGCGCGGGCUCAACACGCGGACGGCACAUGAUACUGCGAGACGAGAGUAAUGGAGGGGGAACCGGAAUUCUCGGUGUAGAAGUGAAAUGCGUAGAUAUCGGGAGGAACACUCGUGGCGAAGGCGGGUUCCUGGACAGUAACUGACGCUGAGGCACGAAGGCGUGGGGAGCGAAAGGGAUUAGAUACCCCAGUAGUC
rnacentral:rRNA from 1 species